UGUGAUUAACAGAAAUAUCAGAUUUGCAAUAAAAUAGUCCAUGUACUCUUGUCACAGGAGAGUCCAUCAGCUCACUAACACGGGUGAGGGACAGGGACCAAAGAGGAGGCUCUACAACAUGAGGAAAGACGGCGAUCCUCAAGCAGUCAGUCCAUGAGCCCACGUCUUCAGGCCAGGGGCCCGAGAGGAAUUUCCAGUGACAUGGAUCAACAGAGAUCCUCAAACAGUCAGUCCAUGUGCCACGUUCCAGCCAGGGACCAAAAGGGGGACUUUCGUCAUGGGGCCAGACAGACAUCCUCAAGCAAAAUAGAGAGAUGCAUCCAGGCCACCCACUAGGAGGUGGAAAAUCGUACGAAGAGGUGGCUGUACCUGGCAGCAGACUGAGAUGGGGUGAGGAAGAGAAGCACAGACCAAGAACGGAAUGUCAGACAUUUGCCCUUUUUUAUGCCCAGCACACACACACACACACCAGCAUAUAAACAUGCACAUAGACACAGGCGCACGUGCACACACAUACACGCACUCUCAAACAAGAUGAGUCUCUGGUGAUGUUGGCAAAUAAUCUGAAUCGAUACACACGGCAAUGAUUCCACCAUCGUGCCCCACCUACGCGAGUCCUGUCCUUCAGCAUUGACUUUCUCCCCAGGUGUGGUGUGCCUUCAUCCGAACCACAAUGGCAUCCCAAGCAGCAACAAAUACCUGCACGCAUGCAUGCUACGGUACACACACAAACACACUGGACUGUGAACUAGGUCAGACACACACACAUGCUCAAAGUAGCCAAGAUCGAAAAGGCUG